rnacentral:rRNA from 1 species
GACGGAGGGUGCAAGUGUUAUCCGGAAUCACUGGGCGUAAAGGGUCUGUAGGUGGUCAAAUAAGUCAACUGUUAAAUCUUGAGGCUCAACCUCAAAAUCGCAGUCGAAACUAUUCGACUAGAGUAUAGUAGGGGUAAAGGGAAUUUCCAGUGGAGCGGUGAAAUGCGUAGAGAUUGGAAAGAACACCGAUGGCGAAGGCACUUUACUGGGCUAUUACUAACACUGAGAGACGAAAGCUAGGGUAGCAAAUGGG